rnacentral:rRNA from 1 species
GAUGAACGCUGGCGGCGUGCUUAACACAUGCAAGUCGAGCGAGUGAGUUCUUCGGAACGAUCUAGCGGCGGACGGGUGAGUAACACGUGGGCAACCUGCCUCAUAGAGGGGAAUAGCCUCCCGAAAGGGAGAUUAAUACCGCAUAAAAUUAUCUAUUGGCAUCACAUGAUAAUCAAAGGAGUAAUCCGCUAUGAGAUGGGCCCGCGGCGCAUUAGCGAGUUGGUGAGGUAACGGCUCACCAAGGCGACGAUGGGUAGCCGACCUGAGAGGGUGAUCGGCCACAUUGGGACUGAGACACGGCCCAGACUCCGACGGGAGGCAGCAGUGGGGAAUAUUGCACAAUGGGGGAAACCCUGAUGCAGCAACGCCGCGUGAGUGAUGAAGGUCUUCGGAUUGUAAAGCUCUGUCUUUGGGGACGAUAAUGACGGUACCCAAGGAGGAAGCCACGGCUAACUACGUGCCAGCAGCCGCCGUAA